CAACCAAAAUAAAAACUCAACCAAAGGGACCAAUCAAUAAAUGGUUGUCUUGCUUUCAACUGAAAGCUCUUGAAACAACCAAAGAAAGCUCAAAUAAUAAACCACAGAACCAAACAGCCAAUUGGUUUUCCUCAGUCUCCUCUUCCAAAGCUUAUUAUGCGGUAUAUGAAACGCUAGGUAGAACAAAGAAACAAAAGCCCACAAAAUAAGAGUGUGCAAUUAGUCAAGAAAGACAAACACUUUAAUGCGUGGAAGUGAGAUGAGAUUCUUGAAG
rnacentral:misc_RNA from 1 species